UACGUACGGACCGAGCGUUGUCCGGAAUCAUUGGGCGUAAAGAGCGUGUAGGCGGCCUUUUAAGUCCUGCGUGAAAUCCUGCGGCUCAACCGCAGACGGUCGUGGGAAACUGGAAGGCUAGAGUGCGGGAGAGGAGAGUGGAAUUCCCGGUGUAGCGGUGAAAUGCGCAGAUAUCGGGAAGAACACCCGUGGCGAAGGCGGCUCUCUGGAACGCAACUGACGCUGAGACGCGAAAGCGUGGGGAGCAAACAGG
rnacentral:rRNA from 1 species